UAUCUGAUUUCUGUCUUCCUUAGAUGUACGGAUUGAAUCUUAACUGCACAGGGUACUUUGUGCUGUUUCUGUCGAGGAGAAAGGAAGGAUUCUGAUUUAAUAAAUGAUGUGUGUGAGACAUGGCUGAUGACUACCAAUCAUUAAUUUGUGCAGUGCUUGUUUUCAACCACUGGAAUUGUUUUCCUACUUUGUGGCCACAAUAUCUGCAACGAUGUCACAUGAGCAGGCACCAAAUAAUAAACAAAAAUAUGCUGUCAUCCUCAACCUCUUGUGGGAUGGAGGAGAAGUCUGACAACUUAACUUGGCUUUGCUAUCCCUCAUGGGCAAACCUGCUUCCUUUCCUUCCUCUGAUGCAUUGCAAGCAUAAUGUGUCUUGUCCUGCUGCCAAUACCACCACAAUAGAUUACAGUGCUUCCCUGAGCAGAGAUACUGAGUCAGCAUAACAGGGCACGGGCUGGAGAUGCCAUCUCACCUGAUUGUCUUCACCUCUCUGAAGUGUACCCCUGCUGUGAAGAGAAGGAUAUCUGUCAUUUUGUUCUUCAUUGUACAUUUCAGAAAAUGUAGCCUCAUCUAUUUACCAGUCUGUGAUGAGGCAGAAAGUGGGGUCUGCUUAUCUAAUAAUCUCCCUGCAUCCAAUUCAAACUCUUGCUACGCUUUCCUGAGGCAACACUGUCAUCAUUUCUCCAUCCAAUCCAUGCUAACUGCCUCUCUUAGCUUGAUGUAGACUUCAUAAACAGUAAAUAACAGGUUCAUGCAAAAUAAGAUUUGCUUUGCUGAGUGUUAAAGUCUGUCCUUCUGAUGUAGACUCUUAUUUUCAUUUGGAUGAAGUCUGUUUAUGAGGCUCAUAACUUUUUGGAAAUAUCUUUACCAUCAUGUGGGAUUUUGGGGGGGGAGGGAGCAGUUCUUUUUUUUUGAUGAUUAAUAUGACUGGGGUUUAGGCAUUUGCAGCUAAACGAAUGCUUCCUCUUCUCAUUUCUCAUUGCUCCCAAAGAGUUCAAAUAGAAACCAUGGAACUUUACUAUAUAGAGCUCUGGGGUAGAUUGCUUCAGUGACCAGGAAAUGCUAUGGACUUCUUAAAUAUAGUCUUGUCUUGAAUGUUAAACAAGAUGGCAAUCUUGGCAGCUUUAUUUCCAGAAUCAGAGGUAGAAAUACUGGCUGUAUUCUGCCUGGACACAGGUACUUUUUUCCUCCUGCAGUGCUUUUGGGGGCUUGUAUAAUGGACUGGCUGUCAGUUGUGGGGCUGCAUGAAUUGUUUGUAUUCAAAGAGCACCUUUUGGCAGGUGGGUGCAAGAGCCCCAGUCCUUCUGAACCAAACAUUCUUCUAUAAUGACUCGGGGCAACAAAGGGAAGAGGGCAAGAUGUGUGAGGUGACCCCUCCGUGGGCUGCAAGUAGCACAGUCAUCCUGAGCUCUCACCUCUGCUGCCUCCUACAGAAAUGUCUGUCAGUGUGGGCAAGUACACACACAAGUGCUAUCUGUAAAUACAUCUAGAUGCAAAAAGGUUUACCUUUAUGUGAAGUCUGCGUGCAAGGUGUUCCAUCCAAAGAUGUGAAGUACUGUAAUGUUCAGAAAUGAGAAUGUUGUGGGAGAGGGUUAAUGCUUCACAUUAAGGCAGCAUUAGGGACCUGUAACUCACUGCUGGUAAACCUAGCUGUCUUCAGAAUGUAGACCCAUAUCUCUUUUGUUUUCAAGAUAAACCUGGCAGUUCUCAGUUAAGCUGUUUCUCCUAAUUCCCAAGCCAAAAUUGUGUAUUGCUAAAAAUAGAGAUUGUAAUGAAGUUACAGCUUUCAACUGUGGGGCCUUCUGGAUAACUCCAUUAUAUUGCAAUUCUAUUAAUUAAAACGAAAGAGGAAAAAUAUGUAAUAGGAUUGUGUUAAUAAAGCAUGAAAUGAAGUGUUACC
rnacentral:lncRNA from 7 species